rnacentral:rRNA from 1 species
AACAGGAUUAGAUACCCUGGUAGUCCACGCCGUAAACGAUGUCGACUUGGAGGUUGUUCCCUUGAGGAGUGGCUUCCGGAGCUAACGCGUUAAGUCGACCGCCUGGGGAGUACGGCCGCAAGGUUAAAACUCAAAUGAAUUGACGGGGGCCCGCACAAGCGGUGGAGCAUGUGGUUUAAUUCGAUGCAACGCGAAGAACCUUACCUACUCUUGACAUCCAGCGAACUUAGCAGAGAUGCUUUGGUGCCUUCGGGAACGCUGAGACAGGUGCUGCAUGGCUGUCGUCAGCUCGUGUUGUGAAAUGUUGGGUUAAGUCCCGCAACGAGCGCAACCCUUAUCCUUUGUUGCCAGCGAUUCGGUCGGGAACUCAAAGGAGACUGCCGGUGAUAAACCGGAGGAAGGUGGGGAUGACGUCAAGUCAUCAUGGCCCUUACGAGUAGGGCUACACACGUGCUACAAUGGCGCAUACAAAGAGAAGCGACCUCGCGAGAGCAAGCGGACCUCACAAAGUGCGUCGUAGUCCGGAUCGGAGUCUGCAACUCGACUCCGUGAAGUCGGAAUCGCUAGUAAUCGUGGAUCAGAAUGCCACGGUGAAUACGUUCCCGGGCCUUGUACACACCGCCCGUCACACCAUGGGAGUGGGUUGCAAAAGAAGUAGGUAGCUUAACCUUCGGGAGGGCGCUUACCACUUUGUGAUUCAUGACUGGGGUGAAGUCGUAACAAGGUAACC